ensembl:lncRNA
CUUUCUGUUGCUCUCUCUGAUGACAGUAGGUGAAAGACAACAAUGCUCAGUAGGCUACUUCAAACACAUGACUGGCGCCUUCUGGGGGGAAAGAGAGAAAGGAAAAGCAACUCCUCUGUAUCUGAAAUAAGACCAGUGACGUAGGAAAGUUUACUUGACUGACCUGUAUCUGAUGGUAGAUUUUUGUAUUCAUUUGGUAGGAAAGGUCCUUAUCCUAGAAUGACAUGACAUCAAAGCAUACAUGGACGCGGGGCUGCCUGACUAAAGGGGUUUUCCCUUUGGGUGUGGACAAGAGUCCAGCGUUUGUUUAUCAUUCGAUCAUGUUUGAUUUCAGAGUUUUGAGGUCUUGGCUAACGAUCAGGGGGACGGUCGAGAGCCAUUCCAUGCAACACUCAGUCUCCGAUUCUCUAAUGACUUCUUAGAUGAUGUAAAGGCUGCGAUACUGUCUUGUUUUCCAACCCGCCUUAAAAAACAAGAAAUGGGAUCCAUGCCGACACUACUCACGGCAACCACAGCACAGGUAACUGUUGGAGAAGAGAGAAGAAUGAAACAUCAGCUCCGAGAGGGUAGUUCCAGGGAGAGAGGGAGUCACAAGCACUUGGCCACCGCUACACCCUCAGUAAAUGUGAAAUUGCAACUUGUUAGUGGGUCAUUGUUUCCGAAAUAAGAUAAGAUGGAUGCUUCUUUCCUAAAAAGGUGGCAAGGCCAUCAAGAGGGCGUAUGUGUUGUUCCUAGACAAGGCUCAGCCAGGAUGAGGCAAUGCUCUAUAGAUUCCUCUUGGCUUACCUCAUCAUGUCUGCUGCUACACUGAGUAACGCCUCAAUUAUCUCAGACACUCGCGUUUUGCCCGCCUGCCCUGCAACGCAUGCGUAUCGACUGAGGUACGUCAGCCUGUGAAGCCCCGCGGAAUCUGGUUCGGUGUGAUCUUCUUGAGUGGUCAGACCUGACUGGGAUGGAUGCGGGGAGCUGUCCGUAUCAGGCUAGUGUCCCGAUUAGAUUGGGCCACGUGGGUUCACUAGUUUAACCUGAUGUGUGUGCCGACACUCAGGGGUAAUGAUGCAGCAUGUGUCUUUCUCCCUUGUUGGGUUCAGCCCUUAUUUCUUAGGCCUGAGGUGGUGGCUCUUAAGUCUGUGUGUGUGUGUGUGUGUGUGUAUAGGCGGUGUCUCUCUGGUGGAUGACAGGGAGAUGCUGGAUUACCAUCCAUGAUGAGUAAUUCAGGCUCUCAGAUGGAAACAUUUAGAUGCUUCAGAUGCUUUCUCAACACCUUAGGAUUCAGUCAAUGGAUCAGUCCUUCUGCAAUACAGUGGUUUGCGAUGGAUGAGUAAGCCAGGAGUGUCAGACUGCCACAACAGGGAGGUGCUAUGUUCAGGAUGAACAAAACCCAAGACCGGGUCGUAGUUAGUUCCCAUUUAUGUGGAACUGGUGUCGGACCAAAAUGAACAGGGUUUCGUCAACAUGUCUGAUAUUAUCCGUUGUACUUCUAGAGUACUUCUGGGGAAAUUCAACGAUGAACACAAUCUUGACACCUCAGGCUACAUACCUGAACAAUUUACCGGUUGUCUUUUUUGACAAUAUUAUUAAACAUGAAUCACAGGGGUAGAUAUUUAAGAGCUUGGAGACAUAUUGCCCAAUUCUGAUUUAAAAAUAUCAUGAGCAAGGCAGACUAGUUCUGUCUUGUGAUUCCAGGCAUGGACUGCAGGUCAGUCUACAGUAAGUCUCUGUGUGUGAGUCAGAUGGCAGGCUGCGCUAGGUCAAGUGAUGUGAAGCCAUCACAGAUGUUCUGCAUUCUGGCAGUAAAGGCAUUCUGUUUUUCUAUGCUCAGACAGUAUUUUAUUUCAGAUAUAUAGAAAGUCAUAAAAAGAACAAUACUGGAGAUUUGCCUAGAGUGGCUGUUUUUUGUCAUGUGGAACAAACAAAAAAAGGAGAUAUAAAGGAAGAAGAAAGAAGAAAAAAGGGAGAGAAUAUGCCCUACAUAACGAAUUAAUAUAGAUGGUAUAAACAGGGAAAAUAAACAUCAAAUUACACUAAAUAUGAGACACAGAUUCAUAUGAUAGAAUCAGCAGAUACAUUGAGUCAGAAAGCAGUUUGUUUACUUUUAUAUGAGCAGUGUUUUGAAGGGACUGAUGGUUAGCAAACGGACGGCAGUUAGUUAAGUUAAUCAUUUUUCAGGUGCUUCUUAAUGGAAGGACGGGCAUAUCUUUG